rnacentral:rRNA from 1 species
UAAGUGACUAAGCGUACACGGUGGAUGCCUUGGCAGUCAGAGGCGAUGAAAGACGUAGUAACUUGCGAUAAGCCCAGAUUAGGUAGUAACAACCAUUUGAGUCUGGGAUUUCUGAAUGGGGAAACCCACGUGCAUAAGCACGUAUCCUUACCUGAAUACAUAGGGUAAGGAGGCGAACCGGGGGAACUGAAACAUCUAAGUACCCCGAGGAAAAGAAAUCAACCGAGAUUCCGAAAGUAGCGGCGAGCGAAAUUGGACUAGCCCUUAAGCUUUACACGCGUUAGACGAACGGUCUGGAAAGUCCGACGAUACAGGGUGAUAGUCCCGUAGUUGACGACGUGUGUUCAGUGAAAUCGAGUAGGGCGGGACACGUGAUAUCCUGUCUGAAUAUGGGGGGACCAUCCUCCAAGGCUAAAUACUACUGACUGACCGAUAGUGAACCAGUACCGUGAGGGAAAGGCGAAAAGAACCCCUGUGAGGGGAGUGAAAUAGAACCUGAAACCGUGUACGUACAAGCAGUAGGAGCAGGCUUUGUCCUGUGACUGCGUACCUUUUGUAUAAUGGGUCAGCGACUUAUAUUCAGUGGCAAGGUUAACCAUCUAGGGGAGCCGUAGGGAAACCGAGUCUUAACUGGGCGUUCAGUCUCUGGAUAUAGACCCGAAACCAGGUGAUCUAGCCAUGGGCAGGUUGAAGGUUGAGUAACAUCAACUGGAGGACCGAACCGACUAAUGUUGAAAAAUUAGCGGAUGACUUGUGGCUAGGGGUGAAAGGCCAAUCAAACCUGGAGAUAGCUGGUUCUCCCCGAAAGCUAUUUAGGUAGCGCCUCGGACGAAUACUACUGGGGGUAGAGCACUGUUAAGGCUAGGGGGUCAUCCCGACUUACCAACCCUUUGCAAACUCCGAAUACCAGUAAGUACUAUCCGGGAGACACACGGCGGGUGCUAACGUCCGUCGUGGAGAGGGAAACAACCCAGACCGCCAGCUAAGGUCCCAAAUUACUACUAAGUGGGAAACGAUGUGGGAAGGCUCAGACAGCCAGGAUGUUGGCUUAGAAGCAGCCAUCAUUUAAAGAAAGCGUAAUAGCUCACUGGUCGAGUCGGCCUGCGCGGAAGAUGUAACGGGGCUAAGUAGUAAACCGAAGCUGCGGCAAUAUACUUUUGUAUAUUGGGUAGGGGAGCGUUCUGUAAGCGGUUGAAGGUGUGUGGUAACGCAUGCUGGACGUAUCAGAAGUGCGAAUGCUGACAUGAGUAACGAUAAAGGGGGUGAAAAACCUCCUCGCCGGAAGACCAAGGGUUCCUGUCCAACGUUAAUCGGGGCAGGGUAAGUCGACCCCUAAGGCGAGGCCGAAAGGCGUAGUCGAUGGGAAACGGGUUAAUAUUCCCGUACUUCUUACAAUUGCGAUGGGGGGACGGAGAAGGCUAGGUGGGCCUGGCGACGGUUGUCCAGGUUCAAGUGCGUAGGCUUAAGAGUUAGGUAAAUCCGGCUCUUUUUAAGGCUGAGACACGACGUCGAGCACCUACGGGUGUGAAGUCAUUGAUGCCAUGCUUCCAGGAAAAGCCUCUAAGCUUCAGAUUGUAAGGAAUCGUACCCCAAACCGACACAGGUGGUCGGGUAGAGAAUACCAAGGCGCUUGAGAGAACUCGGGUGAAGGAACUAGGCAAAAUGGUACCGUAACUUCGGGAGAAGGUACGCUCUCGACGGUGAAGUCCCUUGCGGAUGGAGCUAUUGAGAGUCGCAGAUACCAGGUGGCUGCAACUGUUUAUUAAAAACACAGCACUGUGCAAAAUCGUAAGAUGACGUAUACGGUGUGACGCCUGCCCGGUGCCGGAAGGUUAAUUGAUGGGGUUAGACUUCGGUCGAAGCUCUUGAUCGAAGCCCCGGUAAACGGCGGCCGUAACUAUAACGGUCCUAAGGUAGCGAAAUUCCUUGUCGGGUAAGUUCCGACCUGCACGAAUGGCGUAAUGAUGGCCACGCUGUCUCCACCCGAGACUCAGUGAAAUUGAAAUCGCUGUGAAGAUGCAGUGUACCCGCGGCUAGACGGAAAGACCCCGUGAACCUUUACUACAGCUUGGCACUGAACAUUGACCCUACAUGUGUAGGAUAGGUGGGAGGCUUUGAAGCACGUACGCCAGUAUGUGUGGAGCCGUCCUUGAAAUACCACCCUUGUAGUGUUGAUGUUCUAACGUCGACCCCUAAUCGGGGUUGCGGACAGUGCCUGGUGGGUAGUUUGACUGGGGCGGUCUCCUCCCAAAGAGUAACGGAGGAGCACGAAGGUGGGCUAAUCACGGUUGGACAUCGUGAGGUUAGUGCAAUGGCAUAAGCCCGCUUGACUGCGAGAAUGACAAUUCGAGCAGGUGCGAAAGCAGGUCAUAGUGAUCCGGUGGUUCUGAAUGGAAGGGCCAUCGCUCAACGGAUAAAAGGUACUCCGGGGAUAACAGGCUGAUACCGCCCAAGAGUUCAUAUCGACGGCGGUGUUUGGCACCUCGAUGUCGGCUCAUCACAUCCUGGGGCUGAAGUCGGUCCCAAGGGUAUGGCUGUUCGCCAUUUAAAGUGGUACGCGAGCUGGGUUUAGAACGUCGUGAGACAGUUCGGUCCCUAUCUGCCGUGGGCGUUGGAAGAUUGAAGGGGGCUGCUCCUAGUACGAGAGGACCGGAGUGGACGAACCUCUGGUGUUCGGGUUGUGUCGCCAGACGCAUUGCCCGGUAGCUAAGUUCGGAAUCGAUAACCGCUGAAAGCAUCUAAGCGGGAAGCGAGCCCUGAGAUGAGUCUUCCCUGAUACUUUAAGUAUCCUAAAGGGUUGUCGGAGACUACGACGUUGAUAGGUCAGGUGUGUAAGUGCUGUGAGGCAUUGAGCUAACUGAUACUAAUUGCCCGUGAGGCUUAACCA